GGUUGCUCCCUUUCUAUGGGUCAGUAUUGGUGCAAGAACUGGAAACCAGCCCUUGGAGAAUAGUUAUACAUUGGCCAUGAUUUUCCACAGCCCUGGAAAUGCACAAUUCUAUCCUCCUACCAGGAUGAUUGUUAAGUUUUAGCUAACAUUUGAUUAUAAAAGGCCGUAAGUAUGAGUAUCUCUGAGAUAAUUUGUGUAUUGGAAAGAGGUGUGUAAUAGCACUUUUUUAAAAAAAACCUAGGUGUGAAGGAAUUACAAGUCCAGAAGGCUCAAAAUCUAUAGUGGAAGGAAUCAUAGAGGAAGAAGAAGAAGAUGAGGAAGGAAGUGAGUCUAUAAGCAAGAGGAAAAAGGAAGAUGACAUGGAGACCAAGAAAGACCAUCCAUACACCUGGAGAAUUGAACUGGCAAAAACAGAAAAAUACUGGGACGGCUGGUUCCGAGGCUUAUCCAAUCUCUUUCUUAGUUGUCCCAUUCCUAAAUUGCUGCUCUUGGCUGGUGUUGAUAGAUUGGAUAAAGAUCUGACCAUUGGCCAGAUGCAAGGGAAGUUCCAGAUGCAGGUCCUACCCCAGUGUGGCCAUGCAGUCCAUGAGGAUGCCCCUGACAAGGUAGCUGAAGCUGUUGCCACUUUCCUGAUCCGGCACAGGUUUGCAGAACCCAUCGGUGGAUUCCAGUGUGUGUUUCCUGGCUGUUAGUGACCUGCUGUCCACCCCUCCUCAACAUCGAGCUCUGUUGUAAAUACGUCGCA
rnacentral:sRNA from 1 species